AGCAUCCUCUUCAUCCACGGAGCCCCUCCUCCCUGCCCCUGGCUGAUGCUUCCUUACUGAUGUAGUUAAGGGACCUGUCGCUAGAACAAGGGACCAGAGAGCAUCCAGACUGCUUAAAGGAAAGCCUCUUUCUAACCGUUUGUGAAACUUGUCCAAGCAAGGGACUCGUGCAGCGCCUCCUCUCCACUCUCCACUCAGUGCCCCAGAGGCUCAGCCACCGCGACCUUCCCACCCGCGGAUCCCUGUAGCUUUCCCCCACCAGCCAUGCUCCUGCUGCUCCUGCCGGUGCUCGAAAUGGUUUUCACCCUGAGAGGAAGCGGAGCCCAGUCAGUGACCCAGCCUGACCGCCACGUCCUGGUCUCUGAAGGAGCCCCUCUGCAGCUGAGGUGCAGCUACUCAUCUUCUGUUCCUCCCUCUCUCUUCUGGUACCAGCAACGCCCCAGCCAAGGCCCUCAGCUCCUCCUGAAGUACGCAUCAGGGGCCACCCUGGUGACAGGCAUCAAUGGUUUCCAGGCUGAACUUAGGAAGAAUGAAACCUCCUUCCACCUGAGGAAGCCCUCAGCCCAUUGGAGCGACUCAGCUGAGUACUUCUGUGCUUUGAGUGACACAGUGCCUUGGGCUGCAGGGGGAGCUGAGCACAAACCUCCUGACACAGGGGACUUUCUGUGACACACAGGCUCAAGCUGGGGAGUUUCAAUUUCUGUGCAGCCCAAGAUGGCAGGGUGGACUGAGCCCCUGAGAGUGUUUGUCACCUGAAUAGUUGCCUCCAUGUCUGUGUUCUGUCAUCUUUAGACUGGCUGUGUCCCAGAUGAAAAUCUUAUGAUGAAUUUUUUUAGGAGGGACCUCUGUCCCCAUCAACUUCAUUCCCCAACUCCCACCCCACACCUACACUCUGAAGAACACACAUCAUAUCUAUAAGGGCUCUGAAAUUUAAAAAGAAACAUCAUCUUUAUUUUAAAAACUCAUUUCUAGCAUCCACUAUGAUGAUUAGCAUUGCCUCGGGUGUUGAUCAGACAUGGAUACUUGUUUGUGUUAGUAGGCAAACUGUGCAGCCUAGAUUCUCAUUUAGGACAACCUUUAGGGUAUAGAUUCUCAAUCAGUGCACUAUAGACUCUAAAUCUAGAUUGGAAGCUUAACUUCUUGCACAUACAUAAUAUCUCUGUGUGAUAUUGACAUUUUAAAGUAAUUUAAACAAAUGUCUAUAUUUCUCAUUUUGUAUUACAGAGCCAAUGAUCAAAUUAAACAUAAUUUUAAUGAGAUAGGAAAACUAAAAUCCAUACAGUUGUAAUCUGUUGAAACAGUUAUUCCAGUGAUUUUCAUAUGAAAAAUUUGAGACAAUUAUCCCAUAAAAGGAAAUCAAAUAAAAGAGAUGAAAGUACUGAAAAACCCUUAGUUAUUCCCUUUUAAGAAGUUAUUCUAAUUCAUGGUAUAAUAUAAAAGUAAACACUUGAAAAACAUUUUUAUUCUUUCAAAGCACAUUAACAACAUUAAUAGGAAGAUAGACCUUCACUACCAAAGUUCACAGUAUCAGACAUUACAUCAGUUCUCACAGGGAUAUCAAAUGAAAGAAACCAUUUUUAUUUACUCUGAGACAAUUAUAUAAAAAUACAACAUGUUUAAGAAAUCUAUAUCUAUGUCUAUCUACAUAUAUACACUUAUGAUUUCAAAUUGCUUUUGUGUUUUGGUUCAAAUGGUAGGAUUAAAAAAUGUAACAUGAAAAGUC